GACAGAGGGUGCAAACGUUGCUCGGAUUUACUGGGCGUAAAGCGCAUGUAGGCGGGCGAAUAAGUCGGGUGUGAAAUCCCUGGGCUCAACCUAGGAACUGCAUUCGAAACUGUUCACCUAGAGUAGUGGAGAGGAAAGCGGAAUUCCGGGUGUAGAGGUGAAAUUCGUAGAUAUCCGGAGGAACACCAGUGGCGAAGGCGGCUUUCUGGACACUAACUGACGCUGAGAUGCGAAAGCGUGGGGAGCAAACAGG
rnacentral:rRNA from 1 species